ACCCGUGGGCAAGGUAGGAAAGCUAGUUGAUCGAGGGAUAUGUUCUUGACUUUAGAAAUUUGAGUGGUCAAUCUCGAGGAAUCCAUAAGGGAUGUGAGGGAGACACUCGAGGUAGUUGAGGGAUGCACUGAUGAGCUAGACUCGAUGGGUGAGCAGCUCAGGGAAUUUUUGUUUCAGUCUCUUGGUUCAAAUGUGGAAGCAAUGCAAAGGUUGCUCAGUUCCACUACAAAUAAGUUGACAGUGAGGGAUGAUGUUGUCUCAAAAUGAUUCAAUUGAUGUGCAAGUAUACAUAAUCGUUGAC
rnacentral:lncRNA from 1 species